UACGGAGGGGGCUAGCGUUGUUCGGAAUUACUGGGCGUAAAGCGCACGUAGGCGGCUAUUCAAGUCAGAGGUGAAAGCCCGGGGCUCAACCCCGGAACUGCCUUUGAAACUAGAUGGCUAGAAUCUUGGAGAGGCGAGUGGAAUUCCGAGUGUAGAGGUGAAAUUCGUAGAUAUUCGGAAGAACACCAGUGGCGAAGGCGACUCGCUGGACAAGUAUUGACGCUGAGGUGCGAAAGCGUGGGGAGCGAACAGG
rnacentral:rRNA from 1 species